rnacentral:rRNA from 1 species
GACGAACGCUGGCGGCGCGCCUAACACAUGCAAGUCGAACGAGUGAGAGAGAGCUUGCUUUCUCGAGCGAGUGGCGAACGGGUGAGUAACGCGUGAGGAACCUGCCUCAAAGAGGGGGACAACAGUUGGAAACGACUGCUAAUACCGCAUAAGCCCACGGGUCGGCAUCGACCAGAGGGAAAAGGAGCAAUCCGCUUUGAGAUGGCCUCGCGUCCGAUUAGCUAGUUGGUGAGGUAACGGCCCACCAAGGCAACGAUCGGUAGCCGGACUGAGAGGUUGAACGGCCACAUUGGGACUGAGACACGGCCCAGACUCCUACGGGAGGCAGCAGUGGGGAAUAUUGCACAAUGGGGGAAACCCUGAUGCAGCGACGCCGCGUGGAGGAAGAAGGUCUUCGGAUUGUAAACUCCUGUUGUUGAGGAAGAUAAUGACGGUACUCAACAAGGAAGUGACGGCUAACUACGUGCCAGCAGCCGCGGUAAAACGUAGGUCACAAGCGUUGUCCGGAAUUACUGGGUGUAAAGGGAGCGCAGGCGGGAAGACAAGUUGGAAGUGAAAUCUAUGGGCUCAACCCAUAAACUGCUUUCAAAACUGUUUUUCUUGAGUAGUGCAGAGGUAGGCGGAAUUCCCGGUGUAGCGGUGGAAUGCGUAGAUAUCGGGAGGAACACCAGUGGCGAAGGCGGCCUACUGGGCACCAACUGACGCUGAGGCUCGAAAGUGUGGGUAGCAAACAGGAUUAGAUACCCUGGUAGUCCACACCGUAAACGAUGAUUACUAGGUGUGGGAGGAUUGACCCCUUCAGUGCCGCAGUUAACACAAUAAGUAAUCCACCCUGGGGAGUACGACCGCAAGGUUGAAACUCAAAGGAAUUGACGGGGGCCCGCACAAGCAGUGGAGUAUGUGGUUUAAUUUGACGCAACGCGAAGAACCUUACCAAGUCUUGACAUCCCUUGACGAACAUAGAAAUAUGUUUUCUCUUCGGAGCAAGGAGACAGGUGGUGCAUGGUUGUCGUCAGCUCGUGUCGUGAGAUGUUGGGUUAAGUCCCGCAACGAGCGCAACCCUUACUGUCAGUUACUACGCAAGAGGACUCUGGCAGGACUGCCGUUGACAAAACGGAGGAAGGUGGGGAUGACGUCAAAUCAUCAUGCCCUUUAUGACUUGGGCUACACACGUACUACAAUGGCGUUAAACAAAGAGAAGCAAGACCGCGAGGUGGAGCAAAACUCAGAAACAACGUCCCAGUUCGGACUGCAGGCUGCAACUCGCCUGCACGAAGUCGGAAUUGCUAGUAAUCGUGGAUCAGCAUGCCACGGUGAAUACGUUCCCGGGCCUUGUACA